GAUGAACGCUGGCGGCGUGCCUAAUACAUGCAAGUCGAGCGAACGGACGAGAAGCUUGCUUUUCUGAUGUUAGCGGCGGACGGGUGAGUAACACGUGGAUAACCUACCUAUAAGACUGGGAUAACUUCGGGAAACCGGAGCUAAUAUCGGAUAAUAUUUUGAACCGCAUGGUUCAAAAGUGAAAGACGGUCUUGCUGUCACUUAUAGAUGGAUCCGCGCUGCAUUAGCUAGUUGGUAAGGUAACGGCUUACCAAGGCAACGAUGCAUAGCCGACCUGAGAGGGUGAUCGGCCACACUGGAACUGAGACACGGUCCAGACUCCUGCGGGAGGCAGCAGUAGGGAAUCUGCCGCAAUGGGCGAAAGCCUGACGGAGCAACGCCGCGUGAGUGAUGAAGGUCUUCGGAUCGUAAAACUCUGUUAUUAGGGAAGAACAUAUGUGUAAGUAACUGUGCACAUCUUGACGGUACCUAAUCAGAAAGCCACGGCUAACUACGUG
rnacentral:rRNA from 1 species